rnacentral:ncRNA from 2 species
GAAAAAGAUAGAGGUUGCGGUCGCCAUCAGUAACCUGCCCGAGCAAAGCACAUGCGCUGAAGGCAGGCGAAAGGGAACACCGCCGAAAUCCUCACCGGCGUGUGAACGGUGAGCGGUUGGGCCGCUGGAGAAGAUCCGGCGGACUGUCGCAGUAAUGCGGGGCGCUAUCGUCAAU